rnacentral:misc_RNA from 1 species
GAUGAAGAACGUAGCGAAAUGCGAUACGUAAUGUGAAUUGCAGAAUUCAGUGAAUCAUCGAGUCUUUGAACGCACAUUGCGCCCUCUGGUAUUCCGGAGGGCAUGCCUGUCCGAGCGUCAUUGCUGCCCUCAAGCACGGCUUGUGUGUUAGGCCCCGUCCUCCGCUCGCGGGGGACGGGCCUGAAAGGCAGCGGCGGCACCGCGUCCGGUCCUCGAGCGUAUGGGGCUUUGUCACCCGCUCUGUAGGCCCGGCCGGCGCCUGCCGAUCAACCACACUUUUAUUCAGGUUGACCUCGGAUCAGGUAGGGAUACCCGCUGAACUUAAGCAUAUCAAAAGCGGAGGA